rnacentral:rRNA from 1 species
AUUGAACGCUGGCGGCAUGCUUUACACAUGCAAGUCGAACGGCAGCACAGGGAGCUUGCUCCCGGGUGGCGAGUGGCGCACGGGUGAGUAGUACAUCGGAACGUGUCCUGUUGUGGGGGAUAACUGCUCGAAAGGGUGGCUAAUACCGCAUGAGACCUGAGGGUGAAAGCGGGGGAUCGCAAGACCUCGCGCAAUUGGAGCGGCCGAUGCCCGAUUAGCUAGUUGGUGAGGUAAAGGCUCACCAAGGCGACGAUCGGUAGCUGGUCUGAGAGGACGACCAGCCACACUGGGACUGAGACACGGCCCAGACUCCUACGGGAGGCAGCAGUGGGGAAUUUUGGACCAAAUGGGGGGCAACCCUGAUCCAGCCAUGCCGCGUGCAGGAUGAAGGCCUCGGGUUGUAAACUGCUUUGUC